CCGAUUCCCGUACGAUCACCGAAGUUAAGCAACGUCGAGUAUGGUCCGUAUCAACAUGAGUGACCACUUGGGAAUACCAGGUGCUGUAAG